rnacentral:rRNA from 1 species
CUACGUGCCAGCAGCCGCGGUAAUACGUAGGUGGCAAGCGUUGUCCGGAUUUAUUGGGCGUAAAGCGAGCGCAGGCGGUUCCUUAAGUCUGAUGUGAAAGCCCCCGGCUCAACCGGGGAGGGUCAUUGGAAACUGGGGAACUUGAGUGCAGAAGAGGAGAGUGGAAUUCCAUGUGUAGCGGUGAAAUGCGUAGAUAUAUGGAGGAACACCAGUGGCGAAGGCGACUCUCUGGUCUGUAACUGACGCUGAGGCUCGAAGGCGUGGGUAGCAAACAGGAUUAGAUACCCUGGUAGUCCACGCCGUAAACGAUGAGUGCUAGGUGUUAGGCCCUUUCCGGGGCUUAGUGCCGCAGCUAACGCAUUAAGCACUCCGCCUGGGGAGUACGACCGCAAGGUUGAAACUCAAAGGAAUUGACGGGGGCCCGCACAAGCGGUGGAGCAUGUGGUUUAAUUCGAAGCAACGCGAAGAACCUUACCAGGUCUUGACAUCCCUCUGACCGCUCUAGAGAUAGAGUUUUC